GAUUGCCAUCUACUCCCUCCGUUCCUAAAUAUAAGUCUUUAUAGAGAUUCCACUAUAAACCACGUACGGACGUAUAUAGAUGCAUUUUAAAUGUAGAUUCAUUCAUUUUGCUCCGUAUGUAGUCCACUUAGUGAAAUCCUACAAAGACUUGUAUUUAGGAACGGAGGGAGUAGACACUAGCGCAGUUAGCUAGCUAGCUACAUCAUUAUAUAAUCGGUUCGCGCAACACUUGUGUGGAAAUAAUGAAUAAAUGUUUUUUUGCAAUAGUACAGAUGCAGACACUUGAAAGAAGAGAAAACUGAUUUAUCGGGGAAGUCGGAGCAAGGAGCUCCGGCCCGCACAGGCUCUAAAUUGACAACACAAGAUACAUAGCGGGAAAUUUGAUUUUUUCCACCAUUUACUUUGCACUUUGAUAUUUUGCCACUACUUACUUUGUAAUUGAUUUUUUGCCACCACUUAUUUUACACUUUGAUCUUUUGCCCUCUGUCAGAUGGGUCCCACGUAAAAUGAAAAAAAUACCCCUGCCGACGAGAUAAACCAGAAACUGGAGGAGAGGAGCUCGUUCGCGACACAUCCUCUCUCGUCCGCAGCUUUCACAGAGAGACGGCGGGGCGGCGGCCAACUCCCCGGAGCUCCCGGUGGUCCAAGUCAGAAGCAACAUGAAUGCUUUGAAGAUUGAGGUCUUCGACGAGUGCUAGUGCCUCCCGGAUCGCCAAGGCUUCAACUGUCGGAGGGUCAGCUAUACCCUUGAAAACAAUGGCCGAUGCCCCUUGGAAGACUCCUUGAUUGCGGCAAAUAGCUGCUGCAACUCCUCGGCCCCUGUUACGUGUGACGGCGGCAUCAACAUUGAUAUUAAGAAACAUGUCAAGCGGCUGAAUCCAAUGUGUAGGUCGGGCCAUUGGUUGUCCUACUGUGUUGUUGCUUGGCUUGUUAAGGGCAUAAAGAUCUGCUAGAUAAGAUUUUUUUUUUGAAAGAUCCAGCAAAUUGCUGGCUUGAUUCAGAUUUAGCAGAAAGCAGCGGAAGAACAACAUGGUGAAGAUCCGAAGAUCAAAAA